CACCCGAGACUCAGUGAAAUUGAACUCGCUGUGAAGAUGCAGUGUACCCGCGGCAAGACGGAAAGACCCCGUGAACCUUUACUAUAGCUUGACACUGAACAUUGAGCCUUGAUGUGUAGGAUAGGUGGGAGGCUUUGAAGCGUGGACGCCAGUCUGCGUGGAGCCGACCUUGAAAUACCACCCUUUAAUGUUUGAUGUUCUAACGUGGAUCCGUAAUCCGGGUUGCGGACAGUGUCUGGUGGGUAGUUUGACUGGGGCGGUCUCCUCCUAAAGAGUAACGGAGGAGCACGAAGGUUGGCUAAUCCUGGUCGGACAUCAGGAGGUUAGUGCAAUGGCAUAAGCCAGCUUGACUGCGAGCGUGACGGCGCGAGCAGGUGCGAAAGCAGGUCAUAGUGAUCCGGUGGUUCUGAAUGGAAGGGCCAUCGCUCAACGGAUAAAAGGUACUCCGGGGAUAACAGGCUGAUACCGCCCAAGAGUUCAUAUCGACGGCGGUGUUUGGCACCUCGAUGUCGGCUCAUCACAUCCUGGGGCUGAAGUAGGUCCCAAGGGUAUGGCUGUUCGCCAUUUAAAGUGGUACGCGAGCUGGGUUUAGAACGUCGUGAGACAGUUCGGUCCCUAUCUGCCGUGGGCGCUGGAGAACUGAGGGGGGCUGCUCCUAGUACGAGAGGACCGGAGUGGACGCAUCACUGGUGUUCGGGUUGUCAUGCCAAUGGCACUGCCCGGUAGCUAAAUGCGGAAGAGAUAAGUGCUGAAAGCAUCUAAGCACGAAACUUGCCCCGA
rnacentral:rRNA from 1 species